rfam:Salipiger mucosus DSM 16094 genomic scaffold scaffold1, whole genome shotgun sequence.
GGGGACCUUCGGGGCCCUACGACCGAGGCGGGAUCUCCCGCCGACCACAUAGCGGGCCCCACGGGGUCCCGUGUCUGAAAACGGAAGACAGAAA